UAAGACAGCUGAAUGAUAGUCGGGCUGAAGACUCUACUUGACUAGCUGAGAGAGGUGCAUGGCCGUCGUCAGUUCGUACUGUGAAGCAUCCUGUUAAGUCAGGCAACGAGCGAGACCCACGCCAACAGUUGCCAGCUCGUCCUCCGGGGAUGGUGGGGACACUGUUGGGACCGCCUCUGCUAAAGAGGAGGAAGGAAUGGGCAACGGUAGGUCAGCAUGCCCCGAAUUAUCUGGGCUACACGCGGGCUACAAUGGGUGGGACAAUGGGUAUCGACACCGAAAGGUGAAGGCAAUCUCCUAAACCCAUCCGUAGUUCGGAUUGUGGGCUGCAACUCGCCCACAUGAAGCUGGAAUCUGUAGUAAUCGUGUCUCAAAAUGGCACGGUGAAUAUGUCCCUGCUCCUU
rnacentral:rRNA from 1 species